AACCGGAGCAGCAAACCUCGACGCUUCGUUUCUCUCCUCCAACAGAGCAUUGGGCCAAGGUAUGGCACCACCGUUCGUGGAGCGCUUCACCGUUCAGUCGCCAACCUUGUCGAACUCCGGCCACACCGAAGCCACGAUGCAAGUUGAUUGGGAGAGGGAGAUGUCGGUGUAUGAACCAGGGAGAUCUCAAGAGGUUUCGCGUACAACGGAUGGAGGACAAUACAAUAGUAACUUGAUGAAUCGGGAUGACAGUAACUUUUCUUUGGACGACCUUGAUAGCCCUCCCAUGCAGCAGCCUUCGCCCAUGGUUCGCUCAUCAAGACCAAACCAUAAAAGGUCCAAAAUUUUCACUGAACAUGAGGAUGCAUUACUUGUGUCAGCAUGGUUGAAUAUUAGUUUGGAUCCAGUGCACGGCACUAAUCAGACAAAGGGUACUUUUUGGUAGAGAGUUUAUAAUUACUUCCAUAGCAACAAGGACUUUGAAUCGGAUCGGAACUAGUGUUCGCUAACACAUAGAUGGGGGGCUAUUCAGGACAUCGUGAACAAGUUCUGUGGAUGUCUAAAAAGGAUUGAGGAUAGAAGGCAAAGUGAGAUUACUUUUCAAGACAAGCUUGUCCAAGCAAUGACUUUGUUUAAAGAAGAGGACAAAGACCAUAAAGCUUUCCAAUUCAUGCAUUGCUGGAAUAAGUUGCACAAUCAACCAAAGUGGCAUGAGGAGCGCAUUCAAAUGGAGGAUAUAAAAAACAAGGAAAUAAGAAACAUAAGGCAAACAUGGAUUCAAGUCCUGGAACAGCCACCACACUGACUUGUGAUAUUAGGACAGAUCUUGUCAUUGAGAAUUCAGCUCCAGAGAUAGACGCCCCCCCAAGAGACAAAAUGGUAAGAAGAAGGACAAACAAGCAUUGCGCUGAGGACUGCAAAGUGAGGCUUACAUGGAGGCUUCAAAUCAUUUCUGGGCCAAAAAACAGGAGUUUGAUGUGGUCAUGUGGAUAAAGAAAAGAAGAAAGGUUCAAUCUGUCAUAUGAACUUGAGAAAGAAAGGCUUCAGCUAGAGGCAAAAUGAAAUGCAUGUGAAACGAAUAUUAGAGGAAGAGAGGAUUAUGACAAUGGAUAUCACUUCAAUGCCAAACUACAAAAUGAGAUCCUAGCUCGUCGUGCUUUGAAAUAGCUUUGACAUAUAGGUACAAAGGUGAGACUAGGUGCUUUGUGGCCUUGUUGCUUGCUGUUUCUGCUCUAGUUCCUCAUAUUUCAGAUCAAUUUUAUUUUAGUUCCCGUUGGCCUACUCCUAGAAGAGAACUGGUGUGUUGCAUACAGUCACUUGAUUUGUUCAGAUUACCUAAGUACUUUGGUUAAUUCACAUACAUGUUCAUUUCUAUUCGCCAAACUGUUUCCCAAUUCAGACUAUUGCAUUGCUGGACAAAGUUUUAUUCUAUCAAUAUGAAUUCUCUAUUGGCACUUUU